AUCCUUUGGUCAUUUUGUAACAGCGGAAUAACUUUGGCCGCAACAGAAAAAGAUGAAGGUUAUAACUUCACAAUAAAAUUUCCCUGAGGUGGACAAGAAGGUAAUUAAUGCUGGAGGUUCUGGAGUGCAGUGUAGUUCCGACAGAAUUCCAUUCGGUUUCAGUUCUCACAAACUAGUCGUCAUAGGAUAAUAAUGAAGUGGAAACAAGUCUAGCAGCGACACUACAUUCAUAAAGAUUCGCCUUGCGCUACCAGAUGCUAUGCGCGCAAAGGCAAGAACGGUU